rnacentral:rRNA from 1 species
AUGACGAGGACCAGGCUUGUACAAGCCAUAGAUCAAAUCCGACAAGAGAAGAAAUAUGUGUGUCUGAGGAACCAAGACGCCAAAGGUUCAGAGCGGCAUUGUGCUGAAAAAGCCAGGACAAUCUUUCAGAGAACUAGGAAAGUAAUGGUGGACUCUCAUGAAGCACAAAGACAGAUAAUGUUUGAGGCAAAUUCCUUCACCGGCCCUGCGUAUGAGAAAUUCUGCAAUGAUGCCCAACGGCAUGCUACUCUCAAGCUGGAGGUCGAGCUUAGGAACUGGAGGUCCUGCUUCGUGAGCUACGUCAGUGCUGAGAAGGCGUACAUCGAAUCCCUUGAUGGUUGGUUGUCCAAGCUUGCUCGCGCUCGACAGGACCAGCGAGUAGCACACUACGCUGUUGACAACCGGAUCCUCCUCACAACUGACUCCGGCAUGGGUAUUCCUCUCCUCUGCCAUCUCUCUCUCUUUCUCAUGCCAGUGGGCCGUGUUACUGUACACUCGACUACCCAUUCCAACCCAAGAAGACGACUCAAGGGAGGACUGAUCUAUAUUUUGCGAGUACACUUGUACUUCCCUGAUUUCUGCCCCAAAUAG